UUUUGAUCAUGGCUCAGAUUGAACGCUGGCGGCAGGCCUAACACAUGCAAGUCGAGCGGUAGCACGGGAGAGCUUGCUAUUUGGCUGACGAGCGGCGGACGGGUGAGUAAUGUCUGGGAAACUGCCUGAUGGAGGGGGAUAACUACUGGAAACGGUAGCUAAUACCGCAUAACCUCGCAAGAGCAAAGUGGGGGACCUUCGGGCCUCACGCCAUCGGAUGUGCCCAGAUGGGAUUAGCUAGUAGGUGGGGUAAUGGCUCACCUAGGCGACGAUCCCUAGCUGGUCUGAGAGGAUGACCAGCCACACUGGAACUGAGACACGGUCCAGACUCCUACGGGAGGCAGCAGUGGGGAAUAUUGCACAAUGGGCGCAAGCCUGAUGCAGCCAUGCCGCGUGUGUGAAGAAGGCCUUCGGGUUGUAAAGCACUUUCAGCGAGG
rnacentral:rRNA from 1 species